UACGAAGGGUGCAAGCGUUACUCGGAAUUACUGGGCGUAAAGCGUGCGUAGGUGGUUCGUUAAGUCUGAUGUGAAAGCCCUGGGCUCAACCUGGGAAUGGCAUUGGAAACUGGCGACCUAGAGUGCGGUAGAGGGUAGUGGAAUUCCUGGUGUAGCGGUGAAAUGCGCAGAUAUCAGGAGGAACACCGAUGGCGAAGGCAGCUCGCUGGGACGGUACUGACGCUGAGGCACGAAAGCGUGGGGAGCGAACGGG
rnacentral:rRNA from 1 species